rnacentral:rRNA from 1 species
AUUGAACGCUGGCGGCAGGCCUAACACAUGCAAGUCGAACGAGUGGCGGACGUGUGAGUAAUGUCUGGGAAUCUGCCUGAGGGAGGGGGAUAACUACUGGAAACGGUAGCUAAUACCGCAUACUAUCAUAUGUGCACAGAUGGGAUUAGCUUGUGGGUGGGGUAACGGCUCACCAAGGCGACGAUCCCUAGCUGGUCUGAGAGGAUGAACAGCCACACUGGGACUGAGACACGGUCCAGACUCCUACGGGAGGCAGCAGUGGGGAAUAUUGCACAAUGGGCGCAAGCCUGAUGCAGCCAUGCCGCGUGUAUGAAGAAGGCCUUCGGGUUGUAAAGUACUUUCAGCGGGGAGGCGUUACCCGCAGAAGAAGCACCGGCUAACUCCGUGCCAGCAGCCGCGGUAAUAC